CGGACGGUGAACGGCCAGCUCUGACCGGGGUCAGUGAUCACCUGGGCCCCGAAGUGGGCGCCGUCGGCGAGGACGUCCAGGACGGUAUCGUCACCGUACUUGCCCUCGCCGAGCUGCUGCGUCCGGCCGUGGACGAUCAGGUAGACCUGGUCCGCCGGCUGCCCGGCCUGCGCGAUCACCUCUCCGGCCCGGAAGUCCUGCUGCACGAAGCGGUCCGCGAGGGCGGUGAGCACCGCGGUGUCCUCGAAGUCCCGUAACACCGCGAUCUCACGGAGCUCGUCCGGGAUCACCCGGACCUCGGCGCCGGUCUGCACGAAGGUGAUCCGGCCGUCGCCGAGGGUGUAGCUGAGCCGACGGUUCACCCGGUAGGCACCGCCCCUCGCCUCCACCCAGGGAAGCACGCGCAACAGCCAGCGGGAGGUGAUUCCCUGCAUUUGCGGCACGGACUUGGUGGUCGUCGCCAGAUUUCGCGCAGCGGCCGUACCGAGACUGAGCUGCGGUUGGCCG
rnacentral:antisense_RNA from 1 species